rnacentral:tRNA from 1 species
UAAAUAGGCGGGCCUUGAUCCCACAAAAACUAGUUA